UUCUUAUUUCAUCAUCAUCAUCACGAAAACGGCUCCAGUGCGAAGCCAGGGUGGAGCCGACACAAUAAAUUGGCUUCUUCUAAGAAGGCCUAGCUAUGAAGUGCCCCCCAUUGUUGGCUUCUGCGUGCCAUUUCCUCGAUCAUCAUGACGUACAGCGAGAGAGAGACUAUUUUCCCGAAUGUUGUAAAGUCGUCGUCGUCGUCUGCGAGAUGGCUUCGUUGCAGAUUCCGUGCCUGUCAUCUGCCAUAAAAGGGAACGUCUCGUGUGUUUCCUUGCCGUCGUUUGGGUGAUCGGCUUUCUUUGUUAUUGAUUCGCUUGUCUACGUUUGUGUGCUCAUCAUCAGGAGCCAUUGGUGAUAAGAAGUGCCAAAGCUGCAUACCUUCCUUGCCUCGCGCUCAGCAGUCUAUGGUAGACUAUGCCCGCUAUCUGCGGGCUACCUAGGCUUCCAGUCAUGGUGUUCACCCCCCUCCCGCCCUUGCCGUCGUUCGACUGCUACCACGAUGGUGGUCGCCGGAGGCCUCCCCGCAGGCUGGGCCUCCCGCAGCAAGUGGUCAAGCCAUCCUCGUCCCCUCCACCCAACCCACGACACAGGCAUGACCCCGGCUCCUUUCCGCGGAGCGCCAUCCUGGACCCACCCUUUCUGUUGCCUGAGGAGGAAGAGACAACUAUGCCCCACCUGUCGUGUAUCCGAACUCCACCGAGCCAGCACUCACCGGCGCAGCAAACUGCACAGAAAUAAGACGGAGGCCGCCCGUGCAGCGGGAGAUGCCACCUCUCGAAGAUUGUCGAGGCGAAGUCCAGGCGGAGAUACGGCGAAGGGUCUCCAGGGCCGAGUCCCGAGUCUUCAUAAAUAUUAUUUAACUUGCA